rnacentral:rRNA from 1 species
GAUGAACGCUGGCGGCGUGCCUAAUACAUGCAAGUCGAGCGAACAGACGAGGAGCUUGCUCCUCUGACGUUAGCGGCGGACGGGUGAGUAACACGUGGAUAACCUACCUAUAAGACUGGGAUAACUUCGGGAAACCGGAGCUAAUACCGGAUAACAUGUUGAACCGCAUGGUUCAACAGUGAAAGACGGUUUUGCUGUCACUUAUAGAUGGAUCCGCGCCGCAUUAGCUAGUUGGUAAGGUAACGGCUUACCAAGGCAACGAUGCGUAGCCGACCUGAGAGGGUGAUCGGCCACACUGGAACUGAGACACGGUCCAGACUCCUACGGGAGGCAGCAGUAGGGAAUCUUCCGCAAUGGGCGAAAGCCUGACGGAGCAACGCCGCGUGAGUGAAGAAGGUCUUCGGAUCGUAAAACUCUGUUAUUAGGGAAGAACAAAUGUGUAAGUAACUAUGCACGUCUUGACGGUACCUAAUCAGAAAGCCGCGGCUAACUACGUG